rnacentral:sRNA from 1 species
CAAAGAUGUUCUAAAACCACUCAGGCCUGUGAGUGAAAUGAUUUGCUGCACUGCAAGGGAGGGUCUUUCACAGAUGAAAGGUUCUUAAUUUGAUGAAGUUCAGUUUAUCACCUUUUCCCUUUUAUUCAUCAUGCUUUUGAUGUCAAGUCAAAGAACUCUGCCUACCCAUAAAUCUCUAAGGUUUUCUCCUAAGUGUUUUCCUAAAAAU